rnacentral:ncRNA from 1 species
AUUUCAGGGCGGGGUGCAAUUCCCCACCGGUGGUAAAGCCCACGAAGGACAGAUUUGUCCCCGAUUCGGUGCAAUUCCGAAGCCGACGGUUACAGUCCGGAUGGAAGGAA